GACGAACGCUGGCGGCGUGCUUAACACAUGCAAGUCGAACGGAAAGGCCCUGCUUUUGUGGGGUGCUCGAGUGGCGAACGGGUGAGUAACACGUGAGUAACCUGCCCUUGACUUUGGGAUAACUUCAGGAAACUGGGGCUAAUACCGGAUAUGAGCUCCUGCUGCAUGGUGGGGGUUGGAAAGUUUCGGCGGUUGGGGAUGGACUCGCGGCUUAUCAGCUUGUUGGUGGGGUAGUGGCUUACCAAGGCUUUGACGGGUAGCCGGCCUGAGAGGGUGACCGGCCACAUUGGGACUGAGAUACGGCCCAGACUCCUACGGGAGGCAGAAGUGGGGAAUAUUGAACAAUGGGCGGAAGCCUGAUGCAGCAACGCCGCGUGCGGGAUGACGGCCUUCGGGUUGUAAACCGCUUUCGCCUGUGACGAAGCGUGAGUGAAGGUAAUAGGUAAAGAAGCACCGGCUAACUACGUG
rnacentral:rRNA from 1 species